GCGAUACAGGGUGACAGCCCCGUACACAAAAAUGCACAUGCUGUGAGCUCGAUGAGUAGGGCGGGACACGUGGUAUCCUGUCUGAAUAUGGGGGGACCAUCCUCCAAGGCUAAAUACUCCUGACUGACCGAUAGUGAACCAGUACCGUGAGGGAAAGGCGAAAAGAACCCCGGCGAGGGGAGUGAAAAAGAACCUGAAACCGUGUACGUACAAGCAGUGGGAGCCUCUUAAUGGGGUGACUGCGUACCUUUUGUAUAAUGGGUCAGCGACUUAUAUUCUGUAGCAAGGUUAACCGAAUAGGGGAGCCGAAGGGAAACCGAGUCUUAACUGGGCGUUAAGUUGCAGGGUAUAGACCCGAAACCCGGUGAUCUAGCCAUGGGCAGGUUGAAGGUUGGGUAACACUAACUGGAGGACCGAACCGACUAAUGUUGAAAAAUUAGCGGAUGACUUGUGGCUGGGGGUGAAAGGCCAAUCAAACCGGGAGAUAGCUGGUUCUCCCCGAAAGCUAUUUAGGUAGCGCCUCGUGAAUUCAUCUCCGGGGGUAGAGCACUGUUUCGGCAAGGGGGUCAUCCCGACUUACCAACCCGAUGCAAACUGCGAAUACCGGAGAAUGUUAUCACGGGAGACACACGGCGGGUGCUAACGUCCGUCGUGAAGAGGGAAACAACCCAGACCGCCAGCUAAGGUCCCAAAGUCAUGGUUAAGUGGGAAACGAUGUGGGAAGGCCCAGACAGCCAGGAUGUUGGCUUAGAAGCAGCCAUCAUUUAAAGAAAGCGUAAUAGCUCACUGGUCGAGUCGGCCUGCGCGGAAGAUGUAACGGGGCUAAACCAUGCACCGAAGCUGCGGCAGCGACACUAUGUGUUGUUGGGUAGGGGAGCGUUCUGUAAGCCUGUGAAGGUGGCCUGUGAGGGUUGCUGGAGGUAUCAGAAGUGCGAAUGCUGACAUAAGUAACGAUAAAGCGGGUGAAAAGCCCGCUCGCCGGAAGACCAAGGGUUCCUGUCCAACGUUAAUCGGGGCAGGGUGAGUCGACCCCUAAGGCGAGGCCGAAAGGCGUAGUCGAUGGGAAACAGGUUAAUAUUCCUGUACUUGGUGUUACUGCGAAGGGGGGACGGAGAAGGCUAUGUUGGCCGGGCGACGGUUGUCCCGGUUUAAGCGUGUAGGCUGGUUUUCCAGGCAAAUCCGGAAAACCAAGGCUGAGGCGUGAUGACGAGGCACUACGGUGCUGAAGCGACAAAUGCCCUGCUUCCAGGAAAAGCCUCUAAGCAUCAGGUAACAUCAAAUCGUACCCCAAACCGACACAGGUGGUCAGGUAGAGAAUACCAAGGCGCUUGAGAGAACUCGGGUGAAGGAACUAGGCAAAAUGGUGCCGUAACUUCGGGAGAAGGCACGCUGAUAUGUAGGUGAAGCGACUUGCUCGUGGAGCUGAAAUCAGUCGAAGAUACCAGCUGGCUGCAACUGUUUAUUAAAAACACAGCACUGUGCAAACACGAAAGUGGACGUAUACGGUGUGACGCCUGCCCGGUGCCGGAAG
rnacentral:rRNA from 1 species